rnacentral:rRNA from 1 species
CCUACGGGUGGCUGCAGUGGGGAAUAUUGCUCAAUGGGGGAAACCCUGAAGCAGCAACGCCGCGUGGAUGAUGAAGGUUUUCGGAUUGUAAACUUCUUUUGUGAGGGAAGAUAAUGACGGUAUCUAAUGAAUAAGCACCGGCUAACUCCGUGCCAGCAGCCUCGGUAAUACGGAGGGUGCAAGCGUUACCCGGAUUUACUGGGCGUAAAGGGCGCGUAGGCGGUAGAACAAGUCAGGAGUGAAAUGCCGGGGCUUAACCCUAGAACUGAAUUUGAAACUGUGCAGCUAGAGUGCAGGAGAGGUAAGUGGAAUUCUUGGUGUAGCGGUGAAAUGCGUAGAGAUUAAGAGGAACACCAGUUGCGAAGGCGGCUUACUGGAAUGUAACUGACGUUGAGGCGCGAAAGCGUGGGGAGCAAACAGGAUUAGAUACCCCAGUAGUC